rnacentral:lncRNA from 1 species
UUAUAUACAACUAAAACAAUCAAAUGGACCAAUAGUUGUAAUAGGACCAAAAUUGUUUUAAUAAGAUUAAAAUAUAUGUUUAUAUAUGAUGAGACCUAAAACCCUCAACCAAACCAUUAUUAAGUUGAUAAGCGUGAGAGUGCUUUGAACACUCUUUCGUGGCCUUCCACCGUGGUAGGCUCCAAUCGUUUAUGACUUGUACACCACCUUCACCCUAUCAUGGGGGAGUGCAAAGUGCAUGCUUAUACUCAGGAGGAGUUUAUUUAAAACAUUUGAUGAG